AGUGGGAGGGGUAUACUUUGUUGGUUAACACUCCAUAUCAUUACUUUACACCAUUUUAAAUGAGACGUGGAAGUAGAUUUUACAAGCCGCUCAUUGGAAGGAACUACUUUUAGUUCUUUGGAUGGAGGUCGUAUGCAGUAGGCUAAGAACUUAUGAAUGAACAGUGAAGCAAGGGCUAUAUAGCAGCACCAUGUUUAUUUAUGAAAGGCCACGUGUUGGGAUCAUAAGGUUACUCAACAUACACCCUUAUCUCUUUCAACUGUUGAACUUCAUACACUGGAGACUGUUAUCACUGACACUGGGAGUUUCCCUACAGGCAUUCAACCUCUUCAUUAAAAUAAAGGAACCCAAAAAACAUGUAGCCCUUUGUCCCCACCAUAUUUCUGUGAACACAAUGGCAGGGUUGAUCAAUAUUUCCCUAUAUUAAAUAUUUGUUAUUGUAAUGAAACCUGAGAAGUGCCCUUCUUUUAUUUAUGAUUUAUUGACUAUGUAAAUCAAGAUGGAGGGGUUUCGAUUAUUUAUAGAAAAAUAUAAAGUAGAAUUGUUGUAAAAGCUGUUGAAAUGAAGACCUGUCCUCAGAAGUAGUCUAUACUUUACAAAGCUUUAUUUAGAUGUCUGGACAAAGCUGUUUGUUAUUGUCUGACUAUUUUACCAGAUAACAACUUGCUGUUAUGAAGUAAACUUGUAUAAAAUA